rnacentral:rRNA from 1 species
AACGUAGGAGACGAGCGUUAUCCGGAUUUACUGGGCGUAAAGCGUGUGCAGGCGGUUCGGCAAGUUGGAUGUGAAAUCUCCCGGCUCAACUGGGAGGGGUCGUUCAAUACUACCGAACUUGAGGGCAUCAGAGGAAGGUGGAAUUCCGGGUGUAGUGGUGAAAUGCGUAGAUAUCCGGAGGAACACCAGUGGCGAAGGCGGCCUUCUGGGAUGAUCCUGACGCUCAGACACGAAAGCUAGGGGAGCGAAC